CCAUAACAAAAUAUCACCCUGAACACACACACAUACCAUCCUCAUCAGGUUUAGGAAGCUAAGCAGGGCCAGGGCUGGUUAGAUCUUGGAUGGGUGACCCCCAGGGAACAUCAUCGAUCUCCAGGU
rnacentral:rRNA from 1 species